rnacentral:lncRNA from 1 species
CUUUGUCUCCGCGCUCAAAAGUGCUUUCUUGCUUCGUUUAUCGAUUACUCACGUUAAUCGCGUGAUUCAAUAUCGAGUGUACCUCCAAAGACAAUCCACUUCUCAGUGUUGUGACAGGCGGCGACCGCGGUUGUACAGGAGCGGAAGCGUGAGCCUUUUGACGAGCGACUGUGAAGAAUGCAAAGCCAGUGCCAAACUUCGGAACCGAUAGCACGGGCGGCGUGUUGGCACAACGAGGAUGAUGAACGAGAGACCCGAUAUGCAGCUGUUCACGGCACCGACACAGAGGACAGAUUGCAGUGCAAGAUAGGAGCGGUCUUCCUGCAAGACCAGACAAGCCAUAUU